GCGGAUGUGGCGGAACUGGUAGACGCACUGGAUUUAGGUUCCAGCGCCGCAAGGCGUGGAGGUUCGAGUCCUCUCAUCCGCACCA
rnacentral:tRNA from 23 species